rnacentral:rRNA from 1 species
AAGCGCGCGCAGGCGGUGACCUAAGUGUCGUGUGAAAGCCCCCGGCUCAACUGGGGGAGGCCACGGCAGACUGGGUCGCUCGAGCUGCGGAGAGGCCCCUCGAAUUGCCGGUGUAGCGGUGAAAUGCGUAGAAAUCGGCAGGAAGACCAAGGGGGAAGCCAGGGGGCUGGCCGCAUGCUGACGCUGAGGCGCGACAGCGUGGGGAGCAAACCGGAUUAGAUACCCGGGUAGUCCACGCCGUAAACGAUGACCACUCGGCGUGUGGCGACACUAAUGUCGCGGCGCGCCCUAGCUAACGCGAUAAGUGGUCCGCCUGGGAACUACGAGCGCAAGCUUAAAACUCAAAGGAAUUGACGGGGGCCCGCACAAGCAGCGGAGCGUGUGGUUUAAUUCGACGCAACACGAAGAACCUUACCCAGACUUGACAUGACGGGCAGACGGCGGAAACGUCGUCGCCUUCGGGGUCCGUCACAGGUGCUGCAUGGCUGUCGUCAGCUCGUGUCGUGGGAUGUUGGGUUAAGUCCCGCCACGAGCGCAACCCAUGCGGUUAGUUACACGUGUCUAACCGGACUGCCUUUCGGGGAGGAAGGCGGGGAUGACGUCAAGUCCGCAUGGCCCUUAUGUCUGGGGCGACACACACGCUACAAUGGCGCCGACAAUGCGUCGCUACCGCGCAAGCGGAUGCCAAUCGCCAAAC